CUCUUCUUGAAUAUAUUUUGAUGUAUGGCCUGCCCACUGAAUACUGAAGGGCCGCGGUAUUUUGACCGUGCAAAGGUAGCAUAAUCAUUAGUCCUUUAAUUGUAGGCUGGAAUGAAUGGUUUGACGAGGUGUUAACUGUCUUUAUUUUUUUUUUGAACUUAAAUUUUAGGUUAAAAUGCCUAAAUGUUUUUUUGGGACGAGAAGACCCUAUAGAGUUUUAUAUAUUUUUAUUUUUUUUGUAUGAGAAUUUCUAAUAUAAAAAUUUAUUUUGUUGGGGUGAUGGAGAGAUUUAAUUAACUCUUUUUAUUUAUUUUAUAUUUAUUUAUAUGUAUUUGAUCCAUUUAUGUUGAUUAUAAGACUAAAUUACC
rnacentral:rRNA from 1 species